ACCUAUGUGGCUCAGUUAGUAGAGCAUGUGACUCUUGAUCUUGGGGUUGUGAGUUCAAACCCCACAUUGGGUG
rnacentral:tRNA from 1 species